GUCUUACCCUCGGGAGGACGUGGUCCAAGGAGUGAUUCAUGACUGGGGUGAAGUCGUAACAAGGUAGCCCUAGGGGAACCUGGGGCUGGAUCACCUCCUUAUACGA
rnacentral:rRNA from 1 species